CCGUAGCUCAGUUGGUAGAGUGCAUGGCUCAUAACCAUGUCGGCGAGGGUUCGAAUCCCUCCGGUC
rnacentral:tRNA from 1 species